AAUACAGAGGAAAAAUUUGAACUGAUUGCAACCUCUUCAUAAUGAAACGAUUCGUUAUGACUAUUGAAAAAAUAUUUCGAUAGUAAAAAAUGCUAAAGCAGGAACU
rfam:Flavobacterium sp. TAB87 contig000038, whole genome shotgun sequence.